GAUGAAUGCUGGCGGCGUGCCUAACACAUGCAAGUCGAGCGGCAGCGCAGUCUUCGGACUGGCGGCGAGCGGCGGACGGCUGAGUAACGCGUGGGAACGUACCCCAAAGUGAGGAAUAACUGCCCGAAAGGGUAGCUAAUGCCGCAUAUGGUCUUCGGAUUAAAGGAUUUAUCCGCUUUGGGAACGGCCUGCGUACGAUUAGAUUGUUGGUGAGGUAAUGGCUCACCAAGUCGACGAUCGUUAACUGGUCUGAGAGGAUGAUCAGUCAGACUGGAACUGAGACACGGUCCAGACUCCUACGGGAGGCAGCAGUGAGGAAUCUUCCACAAUGGGCGAAAGCCUGAUGGAGCAACGCCGCGUGCAGGAUGAAGGCCUUCGGGUUGUAAACCUCUGUCAUGGGGGAAGAAGUAAGUGACGGUACCCCAAGAGGAAGCCCCUGCUAACUACGUG
rnacentral:rRNA from 1 species